rnacentral:rRNA from 1 species
UACGUAGGGUGCGAGCGUUAAUCGGAAUUACUGGGCGUAAAGCGUGCGCAGGCGGUUGUGCAAGACAGGUGUGAAAUCCCCGGGCUUAACCUGGGAACUGCACUUGUGACUGCACGGCUGGAGUGCGGCAGAGGGGGAUGGAAUUCCGCGUGUAGCAGUGAAGUGCGUAGAUAUGCGGAGGAACACCGAUGGCGAAGGCAAUCCCCUGGGCCUGCACUGACGCUCAUGCACGAAAGCGUGGGGAGCAAACAGG